CUUGCACAUAGAGUUCAGCGGUCUUGCAGGACAAUUUUAAAAGGCCCAGAAGACCGCUGUCGUCCAAGAAAAUGAGAGGAGAGGCUGUGAACGUAAACGUUGCAAGAGGAAUAAAUCCCUAGUCAACAGUUCAUUAGAAAUCCCUCUCUGGACCACCUCACCACCCCACCUCGCUCCUCAAGUCCUCCCAAAACGCAUCAUCCACAAGUACAUUGCAUUAGGGAGACUGGGAGAGGGAUAACGUUGGCAGAGGGAUUAAAAAAGCUGACAGGAAGAUAUUGAAAAAGGAAACCAAAAAAACUUCUUCCUGCUCCAGACAGAACUUGUUCCAUCACAGUUGUAUAAUCCUAAACUCUAUGACUCGAACCAAGCUAUUUAACAUGUUAAUUAUGGUGGUUUCAGAUGGCCCACUCUACCACUGGAGGCCUCUCAAAAAUAUGCAGUUUCCAGGAAAUAACCUCUUUUUCAUGCAAUCUGUAUGGUACAUUCAAAAAGAGAGAGUUUAUGUCCUUUACUUUUUCUACGACUUGCACUCGUAAGAGAAAAUAAUGUUGUUGCUCAAACUCUUGGGUUCCUGUGGGAGUUGUAACAGUCUGACAGGACAUUGCCUGCUGAAAUAAGGGAUAGGAAAUACAGCUGGUACAUUUGUGCCGAACCUUUAAAAUGCUUCUUUCAGAUGUAUAUUUUUCACACCAAUUCAGUUAAAUCAUAAUUAUCAGCAUAUUUACUGGUACCGCACACAACAUCCCUGUUAACCAACUAUCAAAAUGCUUGAUGGUAAAUGCAAGGCCAGUUAUUUCCAAACAAACUGAAAAAUUACUCAAUAUGUGAUAUCCCAGCCCCCCCCCCCCCCCCAUUCUUGGACACUGUUAUGAAUAAUAAUCAUAAUGAAAAGAACACAUAAAUAAAAGCUAAUGAAUCCACAUUAUUAUUAUUACCACCCAGUUUGGCUAGAACAUACGGCAUUUUUGUUUUUACUUGGAACAACACAUAAAAGCAGGUUUUAAAUUAUUUCAGUGCCUAUAAAAUAUAAUGAAAUAAUAUAUUGGAACUGUCAAGUUAAAUUUGUAUUUUAAUGUUUGUCAUGUUGCUGCCAUCCUCAUAA